GCAGCCAGACUUGCCUGUAGUUGCUCAUCCGGGUUUUUACCCGGUGCACUCUUCUAUAGGCAGGCCAGCAUCAGUUUGGGCGGUUGGAUAAAGGUCUCUGUCAUGUACCUCUCUUCGGGGAGAACUUAUAGGGGAGACGACAUGCAACCAGCCUGGACUGAGGUCCGCGCAUCUGCUAGGAUGCUGGCGUAAUGGCUGUAAGCGGCCCGUCUUGAAACACGGACCAAGGAGUCUAACAUCUAUGCGAGUGUUUGGGUGUCAAGCCCGAGCGCGUAAUGAAAGUGAACGGAGGUGGGAACCUUUCGGGGUGCACCAUCGACCGAUCCUGAUGUCUUCGGAUGGAUUUGAGUAAGAGCAUAGCUGUUGGGACCCGAAAGAUGGUGAACUAUGCUUGAAUAGGGUGAAGCCAGAGGAAACUCUGGUGGAGGCUCGCAGCGGUUCUGACGUGCAAAUCGAUCGUCAAAUUUGGGCAUAGGGGCGAAAGACUAAUCGAACUAUCUAGUAGCUGGUUCCUGCCGAAGUUUCCCUCAGGAUAGCAGUAACGUUUUCAGUUUUAUGAGGUAAAGCGAAUGAUUAGAGGCCUGGGGGUUGAAACAACCUUCACCUAUUCUCAAACUUUAAAUAUGUAAGAAGUCCUUGUUGCUUAAUUGAACGUGGACAGUUGAAUGUAUCGUUACUAGUGGGCCAUUUUUGGUAAGCAGAACUGGCGAUGCGGGAUGAACCGAACGCGGGGUUAAGGUGCCAGAAUAUACGCUCAUCAGACACCACAAAAGGUGUUAGUUCAUCUAG
rnacentral:rRNA from 1 species